CAAUAAGUACUUCAUUGCUUUUCAAUAAUCAAUUCCGGGAUUACUUUGACACCUGCCUAACAACCCAACAACGCAACCACGAAGCUUAUAUCCGGUCUUGUACAGGUUUGCAGAUACAUUAUACUGCUCACAACAGAAGCAUAUGGAAUUGUUUCCAUUUGUUUACCUUCUACAUCAUUCUUUGGAUAUUGCAUCAGACUAAAAUUGUCUCCUUUCUAUAUUGGAACAACUCCAGCUGAGCAUUUUCCAUAUGAAAUCUCUCUAAAAUUCUUUCAAUAUAGCAUUCCUGAGAUAAUCCUGACAAACCUUGUGAUCUAUUAUGGAUGUCUUUCUAUAUGAAAACAUUCAUCAACCACUUUCUGUGAUAUUAAGGAAGGGACAAGGGGAAGAAAUCUAUGAAUAGGAUGACAUCCUAUUCAACAUCUGUAUCCGUUCCUUGUGUACCUCCCUGAAGCAUAUUGUGCUAGUUGAUCGAGCUUUUUGCAGGCGUUGCUCUGAGGGGGAUCUCAUUAUAGUUUUAUGUAACCUGUUCAAGCAGUUUAUAUUUGUAGCUUGCAUUGAUGUAAUGCAAGAUGUACUCUGGUACUGUUAUGGUCCUUGUUGAUUGAGCCGGUACGUAUGUGAGACCCAAAUUUUAAGGGUUUUGCGGGAAGUUAAAUCAUCAGAUGUUACAAUUGGAAUAAACUCUUUUCUCUUGUAUCAGUAUCACAUUUCAGUAAAGAAUCUCAAAUGGUAGUGAUGCUUGCUUCUGCCCUGAGGGGAAAUAUCGGAGCAUUUUAUUUUAUUUUUA